AACCAAAAGGAGAGAUCUGAUUCACCAACACCACAUCUGUCUUUGAGGAGUGAGAGAUCAGUUCCAGUACCACUGGGCUUCAGCAGAGAAGCACAGACAAAUAUAAAAAGAAAGCGGUGUGUGGAAGACACAGAAGAGCAGACAGAGUCCACACCUGCUAAAGGAGUCUGUCAGCAGCACCACAGAGAUCUGGAAGUGUUCUGUAAGACAGAUAACAUGUACAUCUGUGCCAGAUGUGUGGGGCAAGAGCACCAAGGACAUAGUAAAAUCUAUACUGCGAAACCUAAUGUGCCAGAAGGUCAAACCUUGCUCCAUCAUGUCUUGAGAUAGAACUAUCAAAGGAUUACCCAGAAUACUUAGGGAGUAAGCCGGAAGAGCUCAGUGUCUCUGAUGUUGCUGUGAAAAUAGUGGAGUACUUUGGAGGAGAGACAGCACUGGGAAUCACAUUACACUUCCAGGCAAAUGGUAAGACUAUUAUUUAAUUUAACUUAUUUAAUUUAACUUAAAAUAAUAUACAUAAUUAUAUAUAUUUUCACUGCAUCUAAACAUCAGUUAAUCCAUUUAAAAAAAAAAAAAAAAAAUCACAGAAGCCAAUAAAGCAAAACUUCAGGUCA
ensembl:lncRNA